GACGAACGCUGGCGGCGUACUUAACACAUGCAAGUCGAACGAGUGGCGAACGGGUGAGUAACACGUGGGUGACCUGCCCUGCACUUCGGGAUAAGCCUGGGAAACUGGGUCUAAUACCGGAUAGUGUGGGAUGGGCCCGCGGCCUAUGAGCUGGUUGGUGGGGUAAAGGUCACCUAGGGGCGAUUUCCAGCUGGUCUGGGAGGAGGAUCAGCCACACUGGGACUGAGACCAGGCCCAGACUCCGACGGUGGGCAGCAGUGGGGAAUAUUGCACAAUGGUCGCAAGCCUGAUGCAGCCAUGCCGCGUGUAUGAAGAAGGCCUUAGGGUUGUAAAGUACUUUCAGCGGGGAGGCGUUACCCGCAGAAGAAGCACCGGCUAACUCCGUGCCAGCAGCCGCGGUAAUUC
rnacentral:rRNA from 1 species